GAAUCGCGCCCGGCCCUGUCCCUCUGUCCCAGGAGGUGACGGCUCUGAGUCAUUCCCCUGAAAACAGCCCCUGGGAUGCGUCAGAAUAUAUCAAGGGCCAACGCAUGGCAGGAGCGCUAACAUUGCCUUCAAAGGGUCACAGCCAUGCUCCUGGAGCAGCUGGGAUGAAAUCCAGGUCAGGAUGUGGAAGAAGGGUCUAUGUCUGCUUAGAGAGAGGAAAUCUGGGCCGCUGCCACCAUGCACACUGACAUGGGAAAGCUGCACUUCUGCAAACGCCUGAUGCGAUCAGAGACUUAAAAAACACAGGCAGCUGCAACCCACUGCAAAACAAGCAGAGGCAUCCUUCAGGUCAAAUAUGAGGAAAUAAAAAGCAGAAGCCCAAUUAAGUUGCAACUUUAUUUGAGGUCAGGGCUGUUUGCAAGGCUCCUUGGGCAGUCUGUUAUGGCUCCAAACCACAGUAAAACUCUCCAGUGUCCCCCUUCCCUGCGCAGGGUAUCUGGCCCUGAGCAGGGCCAGACCCACCAACAUCGAAGCUCUUUAAUUUACUGCUACCUAAAUCCUCCUCAGAGGGUUUUAGCUGAACGAGCCCCUGGUUGCCCACUUCCCCAGCUGCAUUGCUCCUGUUGAAGCAUCUUCUCCGAGAGCCAGGACACGCUGUCACACCAAGAGCCACCUCAGUACCCACAGGCAGAAACUGCUUUAAGAAGAGGAGGGUACCUAUCAAAACUGACAGAUGUGCAAGUGCUGCAAAUUGUUAUUUAAUUAAGGAGAUGGGACAUUCAGAGGAAGCUUAAUUAAAGUUGCUCUCCGAAACCACUUAUUAUCUCAUCAAGACGCUGAGCUCAGCACCAGCUCCUGCUGAAAAUCCCUCUAGGGCUGCCUUUACUAUAUGUGUUUUCUCCUUACACACAUCAUCCUUUGGCUAAGUCCUGACCAAGGAAAAGCAUUUUGCAGUGAAAAUAAAAUCAAAAUGGGUUUACCCAG